rnacentral:lncRNA from 1 species
UGCUCAUCUCCUUCAGGCUUCUUUCCACAGCUCCAUCUCUAAUCUGGGAGCUGUUGCCUUUCUGUCAUGGUUAUCAGGUGGAGAGUUUACUCUGUCCUGCACUGGUGGUGCUCGUACUGCUUGYAUCUCCUUGCUGUUUGGCAGCACUUCCUCACUUAAGCUGACGAGUUAACUGCCUUUGCAAGAAGGGUGUUGGAGGAUUCUUCCAGGGGAUGCUUGAGAGCAGAAACCCACUACGAGGACUCCCUUCCUCUCUGUGCCAGCGUCUCAUCCCACAGCGUACAGGGAGAACGCAGAAGCUACCAGGGGUAUUUUCGGCAUUGCUCGUCUGACUUUGGAAUACAAGGAGUGUCGGCUCUGGUGUCUGCUGGCUUCAGCGAGGGCUGGUGGGCGUCCGGGCAGCCCGUUACUGUCUGGGUUCCAGACRGUCAUGAAGAUCCUGGGUAUGACCUGUGGAUGCUGUCACUGAAAAAGGGAAAACUUGGGGAGCUUUUGAAGAGCUUCCUGAUUAUAACUAAAGCUCAACCCAGAUCCUGGAGAGACCCGAGCAUCCUUGCUUGCGCGCUCUAUCGAAUUUGCUCUGCAGAAGUUCAAGGUUUAAAGGCUUAUGUGAGAGACCUGCGUGGGGACUCUGCCUUCUGCUCCCGGCUCUGCCGCUGCUUCAGCCGAAUGGUCUUGAGUAAGUGAUUUUAUUUCCCUGUACAUGAGUUUCUCAGUUUCUAAAAUAGCAAUAAUAAUGUUUUGUCUCCCUGGUCAAGUGUUUUGUUCUCAAUGGAUGGAAAGUACUAUGUUGUAAGGUCCAUAUGUUAUUGUUGUCGUUACCAUCAUUCUUCUUCAAGAGUAAAUGCUGAGGUUCUGAGUAGUAAAUAUGGAAUACCUGGACUCAAGGUUUUUGG